UGGGGAAUUUUGGACAAUGGGCGAAAGCCUGAUCCAGCCAUGCCGCGUGAGUGAAGAAGGCCUUCGGGUUGUAAAGCUCUUUUAGUCGGAAAGAAAGAGUUGCAAUGAAUAAUUGUGAUUUAUGACGGUACCGACAGAAAAAGCACCGGCUAACUUCGUGCCAGCAGCCGCGGUAAUACGAAGGGUGCAAGCGUUACUCGGAAUUACUGGGCGUAAAGGGUGCGCAGGCGGUCUUGCAAGUCAGAUGUGAAAGCCCCGGGCUUAACCUGGGAAUUGCGUUUGAAACUACAAGGCUAGAGUGCAGCAGAGGGGAGUGGAAUUCCAUGUGUAGCAGUGAAAUGCGUAGAGAUGUGGAAGAACACCGAUGGCGAAGGCAGCUCCCUGGGUUGACACUGACGCUCAUGCACGAAAGCGUGGGGAGCAAACA
rnacentral:rRNA from 1 species